rnacentral:rRNA from 1 species
GAUGAACGCUGGCGGCGUGCCUAAUACAUGCAAGUCGAGCGAACAGACGAGGAGCUUGCUCCUCUGACGUUAGCGGCGGACGGGUGAGUAACACGUGGAUAACCUACCUAUAAGACUGGGAUAACUUCGGGAAACCGGAGCUAAUACCGGAUAAUAUAUUGAACCGCAUGGUUCAAUAGUGAAAGACGGUUUUGCUGUCACUUAUAGAUGGAUCCGCGCCGCAUUAGCUAGUUGGUAAGGUAACGGCUUACCAAGGCAACGAUGCGUAGCCGACCUGAGAGGGUGAUCGGCCACACUGGAACUGAGACACGGUCCAGACUCCUACGGGAGGCAGCAGUAGGGAAUCUUCCGCAAUGGGCGAAAGCCUGACGGAGCAACGCCGCGUGAAUGAUGAAGGUCUUCGGAUCGUAAAACUCUGUUAUUAGGGAAGAACAAAUGUGUAAGUAACUAUGCACGUCUUGACGUACCUAAUCAGAAAGCCACGGCUAACUACGUG